rnacentral:rRNA from 1 species
ACGGAAGGCAGCAGUGGGGAAUAUUGCACAAUGGGGGAAACCCUGAUGCAGCGACGCCGCGUGAAGGAUGACGUAUUUCGGUAUGUAAACUUCUAUCAGCAAGGAAGAUGAUGACGGUACCUGACUAAGAAGCCCCGGCUAACUACGUGCCAGCAGCCGCGGUAAUACGUAGGGGGCAAGCGUUAUCCGGAUUUACUGGGUGUAAAGGGAGCGCAGGCGGUAACGCAAGCCAGAGGUGAAAACCCGGGGCUCAACCCCGAGGAUUGCCUUUGGAACUGUGGAACUGGAGUGCUGGAGGGGCAGGCGGAAUUCCUGGUGUAGCGGUGAAAUGCGUAGAUAUCAGGAGGAACACCGGUGGCGAAGGCGGCCUGCUGGACAGUAACUGACGCUGAGGCUCGAAAGCGUGGGGAGCAAACAGGAUUAGAUACCCUGGUA